rnacentral:rRNA from 1 species
GACGAACGCUGGCGGCAGGCUUAACACAUGCAAGUCGAACGCCCCGCAAGGGGAGUGGCAGACGGGUGAGUAACACGUGGGAACGUACCCUUUGGUUCGGAAUAACUUGGGGAAACUCAAGCUAAUACCGGAUAAGCCCUUAUGGGGAAAGGUUUACUGCCGAAGGAUCGGCCCGCGUCUGAUUAGCUAGUUGGUGAGGUAAUGGCUCACCAAGGCGACGAUCAGUAGCUGGUCUGAAAGGAUGAUCAGCCACACUGGGACUGAGACACGGCCCAGACUGCUACGGGAGGCAGCAGUGGGGAAUAUUGGACAAUGGGGGCAACCCUGAUCCAGCCAUGCCGCGUGAGUGAUGAAGGCCUUAGGGUUGUAAAGCUCUUUUACCCGGGACGAUAAUGACUGUACCGGGAGAAUAAGCCCCGGCUAACUUCGUGCCAGCCGCCGCCGUAA